GGAGCGCGGGGGAUGCAGCGUGGUUUAAAAAUACAAAGGGAGCAGGGCCGGCAGCGGCGGUUCCGUCAGCUCUGCCCCUCAGCUUUGCCUGCCUGGCUUGGGGCGGCCGGGGCAGCAGCGCCGCCCUCUGCCUCCGUCCUUCCCUCCGUGGGGUGGGGGUCUGGCGGGAAGCAGCGGCUGGCUGUAAAGCUGAGCUGCCAGUUGGGUUUCGGCGCCCAGGCUAGCCCAAUUUCUGAGGGUCCCCCAAGCGGCCCGGCCCGACCCGCUGCGGGGUAGGGGCUGCGGUGGUGCCCGCCCCGGGUUCCCCACGGAAGGAGAGUGUGUGGUUUGUAGCGAUGCCUGGGCAGAGAGAGCUCCUGCCCCCCUCUCCCCGGCUAGAGGGGCUUGGAAGAGCCUGGGGCUGCCUGUGAGAGCUGCGUUCCCCCACUCAGGCUGGGGCAGAGGCAGCGGCGCAGGGAAGGGAAGGUGUCGGCUCUCCGAGCUUGGUGCUCCCUGUAAAGCGCAAGCUGCAGCAGUGGAAAGCCUGGGACCUAGUCUCGGUCGAACUGAGGUUUUAAUGCAAGCCACGCCCGUGGUUUGCGUGAGUGCUUUCAAGUGUACCGCUAGCAGCAAAUCUGGCCCUUUGGGUUUGGGAAGAGAACUGGUUUCCAUACGGUCACUUAUACUGCGAUGUCACCCCAGACUACAUUAUACUGGUUUUGCUGACGUUGGUUUUCUUCUGUCUGAUUAUUUUCAUCCAAACUUUAGGUAAAUAUUCUUAGUAAUCUAAGUGGUUUUAACACUCUUGUUUUUUCAGGUGUAGUUUAUGGCCGUAGUGAGAAGCAGGUUAUUACUUUGUUUACUGAAGAUGUGGUGCCUUCAGUAGAACUUUGAUCAUGUUAUCCUUCCUCGACGCUCUAAAGUCUUCUGGGAGAGAGAAUAGUGGGAGCUGACAAGGUGGUGUGUCGUGGGCUGCGAGAGGAAGGAGCCAGCAGAGAUGAGCAGGAUAAUUUCAGGUGCUGAACACAAGUGCACGAAUGUACCCUUGCACUUCAAGUGAAUGGUACCUGCUGGGGAAGGGAAUCAUCCUCCCCAGCUGAACUUUUUGCCAUGGAAAUGCAUACAAAGUUGCAAGAGCCACAUUCUUCUUCCAGGAGUGAUCACCAGCAAUGUGUUUGCAAUGCACUUGCAAUAUAUCCAAGGUGAUGCAUCUGAUUAUCAUUCUUCUCUCUCAAAUUACAAAACACAUCAAUCAAAAGCUAACAGGAGCUGGGACAUAUGGCAUCUCAGAGAAGAACAAGCUGCUGGGCUCCCACCUGUGCCUGGCCUGCCUCGGUGCCAGGAGGGGCCACUGACUCCCGCUGACUUCAGAGCCUUGGAGUUGUGAAUCCAGACUUUUUGGGAUGCUGUAGCUCCUGCUCUUUCUGCAUGUCACUUACAAGUCAUCCAUGCUGUGUUCUUGGCACCCCCAAGGGAUAAAAAUUACUGCUGCCUUCUGUACUACUCAGUUCUGCUCUGAGUACUAGUGACAUGUCAUGUACAGGGUAGUUGGUUUGGAGCUGCUGUUUCCUUUGAACUGAUGUAAUUUUUGAAGUUUAAUCAGUGUAUGAUUGCAAUGCUGCAUGUUUUUUUGUUCAUUUAAAAUAUGUCCCCAUACAUGCUUUAUUUCUAUCUGAAUACUUACGGUACCCAGUACUAGAGUUUAUGUUAAAAAUUUGUAAUUUUAGACAACAUACUCCACAAUGAUUUUUCUUUUUAUUUCAUGUAGCCCAAGCUUCAUGAAAGUUUGCAAAUCCAUUUUGUAGUAAGUAAGCUUCAUACUGUCUGAUAAGCCCAUGUAGCUGCAGCUCUUUGUAUUUUUCAUCCCACAUGUGAUGCAAGAUUAAAAGUGACGCAAUUUCUUUGUUACUGUAAGCAAACGUUCAUACCAAAUGAGGUGGUCAUCCCCAGUCACAGUUGUGCCCUCCUACUGGGGCAUCCUGCAACUGAGUGGUAAACCAGAUCAGGAUUAAAUCCACAUGAUUUUUCUUGUUGCUAGCCUAGCUGUAACCCAACAGAGUUUGCUGUGCAGCCACAGCAAUGUUUUUAUGGGCACAAAGAGGCACAGGGCACAGGUGUGAAAAUGAGCAGCUUACAGCAGAAACAGAACCAUCUUUCUAAGUCCCAUGACUCUCUUAUCGUGACCUAAUCAUGAAACUAUGAUACUACUUUAUUUGAAAUUACGCUUAUAAAUUAGCAACUUGGCAACCAUGGCUGGGUAACAUAAUCAGGCUUUUAACUGCUCCCAAACUGUACAAAGAGGAUCAGAAACAUUUAAAAUGCACAAGUGAUCUUUCCAUCAAAGCAAACAACAGCAGACAGACAUAUUUUAUGCUCACAGUAACGUCAAAUCCAUCUGAAAAAAAAAAACCAACCAAAAAACAAAAGGACCUCAAAAGACAUAGUCCAAGAGUCUAGAAAUUGCUAUUCAUGACUCAGAUUUCCACUGAAGAAUUCCUGGAACUCACCCUUGUCCCACUUUUCCCAGAUUUUAACGUUUGCUAUGAUUGUUAUUGGGGGUUUUGUUCUUUUUUAUCUUAACAUUAUUCGUUUUCGAAAGUUUGAAAUCACAAGAAACUAAAAAAGUGAGUUAAACCUUUGCUGCCUGAGAUUGCUCAGCAGUGGAGCGUGGAAAUAGCCUAGGUGUUAUACAGUCUUCAGCUUGGCUGAUAACAAAGCAGAGCUCAGUAUUUUUUCCAACUCUCCUCCAAUUCCCGUCGCUAAUCUCUGAAACGUGCCCCGUGAAUAACUACUGUGACUUUAGCUCAGUGCAGCUUCAGUUACUGUAUCCUUCUUUCAGCUGCGGCUGUGGGACCGACCCUUAUUCUCUAAUACCAGGUUACGCAAUCAGAUUAAGGAGCCAUCUGCAGCACAAACUGAAACUGCUCUAUAAUCGUGUUCCCGGCUCAGGCAGAACUUUGGCUUACGCAGGAUCUGUGUCUCCUUGAAUUAUACACCAGCCUCCCUGCUACUUCUCUCCUUCUUCAAGUUGGAAAUGCACAGCAAGCGAUACGGUCAAAUAUUUCAGCGAUUAAAUCAUUGCGCUUUGAGCACGCUCAGCUCAGAUGCCGCUUCUAAGAUUUAAAGGAAUAUUUGCGGUAGUUCAAAGGGAAAAAGCAAAACCUCUCCCUUCCUUGUGCCUCCUUUGAAUGUGCUUGAAAGGACAGUAGAUCAGAGCUUGCUGCUUUUGCCACUCUGCUGUCAACAGCUGAAUUGUUAAAUGAUUUAAUGCCAAUGCAUCUCUUAUGUAGCUUUGUAAAGCCUCAAAACUAAAAAUACCUGCUUUUGUCAGCUAUUCUCAGUGUGUCUAUUUUACCUAGUCG